GACGAACGCUGGCGGCGUGCUUAACACAUGCAAGUCGAACGGAAAGGCCCUGCGUUUGUGGGGUUCUCGAGUGGCGAACGGGUGAGUAACACGUGAGUAACCUGCCCUUGACUUUGGGAUAACUUCAGGAAACUGGGGCUAAUACCGGAUAGGAGCUCCUGCUGCAUGGUGGGGGUUGGAAAGUUUCGGCGGUUGGGGAUGGACUCGCGGCUUAUCAGCUUGUUGGUGGGGUAGUGGCUUACCAAGGCUUUGACGGGUAGCCGGCCUGAGAGGGUGAACGGCCACCUUGGGACUGCGAUACGGCCCAGACUCCUACGGGAGGCAGCAGUGGGGAAUAUUGCACAAUGGGCGGAAGCCUGAUGCAGCAACGCCGCGUGCGGGAUGACGGCCUUCGGGUUGUAAACCGCUUUCGCCUGUGACGAAGCGGGAGUGACGGUAAUGGGUAAAGAAGCACCGGCUAACUACGUG
rnacentral:rRNA from 1 species